AUGUACCGGAGCGCUGGGCGGACAGCCUUGGGGGGCACCGGCCGCCACCUGAGUGACCGCGGGAGGAGGAUGCUGGGGGAUAAGGGAUAUCCCACACUCGGGGGGUGCUGGACGGAUGCGAGGGUACGGGAUCGUCGCCUUGCGGAGUCCUGGGGGGACCAUGCUGGGUUACCACGGCCAGCUGGGAGGAUGCUGAGAGGACGGACCGUCCCAGGCUCAGAGCCCCUGGGAAGCCCUGCCUGGGUCCUCCUGCUCUGCUGGAGCCUGGCUGCUUGCUGCACAGGUGCCAUGGCCUUGCAGCCGCCCAGCAUCACCGCCCUGCGGAUGCCAGCAGAGCUUCCUCGCCCAGGUGAGAGUGUGACUGUGUCAUGUGAAGCACUGAGUGAGCUUCCAGAGAUGACGCUGCUCUACUGGCUGGAGAACGGCUUCUUCGUGGAGAGCCUGCACCCCGACGGGGCUGUACGUGAGGGGACAGUGCAAGUCUCGGGAGUGCGGAGACCAAAGCUUCGGAUCAACAGGAAGCCUCAGGUGAACUGGAUGCAUGUCAUAGGAGAUCAAAGACCUAACAUGGUUUGUGCUGUUAUGAUGCCUAAGGCAAAGCCUCUGCAGACAAAGGUUGAACAAGCCAGGUGA
rnacentral:lncRNA from 1 species